CCUACGGGUGGCAGCAGUAGGGAAUUUUGCGCAAUGGGCGAAAGCCUGACGCAGCAACGCCGCGUGAUCGAGACGCCCUUCGGGGUGUAAAGAUCUGUCAGUGGGGACGGAACUUGACGGUACCCACAGAGGAAGCACCGGCUAACUCCUUGCCAGCCGCCGCGGUAAUACGGGGGGUGCAAGCGUUUUCCGGAAUCAUUGGGCGUAAAGUGUACGUAGGCGGUACGUCAAGUCUGGUGUUAAAGGCCGAGGCUCAACUUCUGUACGGCACUGGAUACUUGCGAGCUAGAAUGCGGUAGAGGUAGAGGGAAUUCCUGGUGUAGCGGUGAAAUGCUUAGAGAUCAGGAGGAACAUCGAUGGCGAAAGCACUUUACUGGGCCGUAAUUGACGCUGAGGAACGAAAGCCAGGGUAGCAAACAGGAUUAGAUACCCCGGUAGUC
rnacentral:rRNA from 1 species